GUGAAUCAUCAAAUUUUUGAACGCAUAUUGCACUCUCUGGUAUUCCGGAGAGGAUGCCUAUUUGAGGGUCAUUUAAAAUAAUAUAAAUUCCAAGAUUGCUCGGAAUUUAAAAUGGGUUGUCCACUUUUGGUGGGCGCCUAAAAUCCAAGACAAGCUCAUUUUCUUGGGUUGCGUGAUACUUUCAGUUACCGAGUGACUUAACCAGGAAUUAUCGAGCGUGUUAUGAAUUUUGCAAGAGAGAGAAAAUUCGAUA
rnacentral:misc_RNA from 1 species